GACGAAACGCAGGCGGCGUGCUAAUACAUGCAAGUAGAACGCUGAAGAGAGGAGCUUGCUCUUCUUGGACGAGUUGCGUACGGGUGAGUAGCGCGUAGGUAACCUGCCUUGUAGCGGGGGAUAACUAUUGGAAACGAUAGCUAAUACCGCAUAACAAUAGGUGACACAUGUCAUUUAUUUGAAAGGGGCAAUUGCUCCACUACAAGAUGGACCUGCGUUGUAUUAGCUAGUAGGUGAGGUAACGGCUCACCUAGGCGACGAUACAUAGCCGACCUGAGAGGGUGAUCGGCCACACUGGGACUGAGACACGGCCCAGACUCCUACGGGAGGCAGCAGUAGGGAAUCUUCGGCAAUGGGGGCAACCCUGACCGAGCAACGCCGCGUGAGUGAAGAAGGUUUUCGGAUCGUAAAGCUCUGUUGUAAGUCAAGAACGAGUGUGAGAGUGGGAAGUUCACACUGUGACGGUAGCUUACCAGAAAGGGACGGCUAACUACGUGCCAGCAGCCGCGGUAAUACGUAGGUCCCGAGCGUUGUCCGGAUUUAUUGGGCGUAAAGCGAGCGCAGGCGGUUUGAUAAGUCUGAAGUUAAAGGCUGUGGCUCAACCAUAGUUCGCUUUGGAAACUGUCAAACUUGAGUGCAGAAGGGGAGAGUGGAAUUCCAUGUGUAGCGGUGAAAUGCGUAGAUAUAUGGAGGAACACCGGUGGCGAAAGCGGCUCUCUGGUCUGUAACUGACGCUGAGGCUCGAAAGCGUGGGGAGCGAACAGG
rnacentral:rRNA from 1 species